GACGAACGCUGGCGGCGUGCUUAACACAUGCAAGUCGAACGGAAAGGCCCUGCUUUUGUGGGGUGCUCGAGUGGCGAACGGGUGAGUAACACGUGAGUAACCUGCCCUUGACUUUGGGAUAACUUCAGGAAACUGGGGCUAAUACCGGAUAGGAGCUCCUGCUGCAUGGUGGGGGUUGGAAAGUUUCGGCGGUUGGGGAUGGACUCGCGGCUUAUCAGCUUGUUGGUGGGGUAGUGGCUUACCAAGGCUUUGACGGGUAGUCGGCCUGAGAGGGUGACCGGCCACAUUGGGACUGAGAUACGGCCCAGACUCCUACGGGAGGCAGCAGUGGGGAAUAUUGCACAAUGGGCGGAAGCCUGAUGCAGCAACGCCGCGUGCGGGAUGACGGCCUUCGGGUUGUAAACCGCUUUCGCCUGUGGCGAAGCGUGAGUGACGGUAAUGGGUAAAGAAGCACCGGCUAACUACGUG
rnacentral:rRNA from 1 species